rnacentral:ncRNA from 1 species
ACAGUACAAACUGAGCAGGCCGAAACUUUGUUUUGUGAGCCGGGUCACAUAUGUGACAGUGGAUUACAUCCGCGGGACAGU